rnacentral:tRNA from 1 species
UCGUCGCUGGCCUGCGGGCUGGCGCCGUCGCUGCCGGCGCUGGUGGUGGCGCGGAUCCUGCAAGGCCUGGGCGCGGCCGGCGUGAUGAGC